rnacentral:sRNA from 1 species
AUUCUGCCCAUGCUGGAAGGAUGAGAAUCUUCGACUAAGGUUCGAUUCGAGCGUCAGCGAGAAAGC